AAAUCGUUCGACGAGGAUCUAUUGGAGGCAAGUCUGGUGCCAGCAGCCGCGGUAAUUCCAGCUCCAAUAGCGUAUAUUAAAGUUGUUGCAGUUAAAAUGCUCGUAGUUGGAUCUGGGGUUCGGGUCGGCGGUUUGCCGCUUCGGCGGCUACUGCCGUGCUUGACUCUUACUAGCCGGUGCGUCUUGCGGUGCUCUUCAUCGAGUGCCGUAGGAGCCUGGCAUGUUUACUUUGAAAAAAUUAGAGUGCUCAAAGCAGGCGAUUCCGCCUGAAUAGUGUUGCAUGGAAUAAUGGAAUAGGACCUCGGUUCUAUUUUGUUGGUUUUCGGAACUUGAGGUAAUGAUUAAGAGGGACGGUCGGGGGCAUUCGUAUUUCGGUGUUAGAGGUGAAAUUCUUGGUUCGCUGAAAGACGGACAAAUGCGAAAGCAUCUGCCAAGAACGUCUCCAUUAAUCAAGAACGAAAGUCAGAGGUUCGAAGACGAUCAGACACCGUCCUAGUUCUGACCAUAAACGAUGCCAACUAGCGAUCCGCAGUGGUUGCUAUAAACGGACUCUGCGAGCAGCUUCCGGGAAACCAAAGUGUUUGGGUUCCGGGGGAAGUAUGGUUGCAAAGCUGAAACUUAAAGGAAUUGACGGAAGGGCACCACCAGGAGUGGAGCCUGCGGCUUAAUUUGACCAACACGGGGAAACUCACCCGGUCCGGACACUGUAAGGAUUGACAGAUCGAGAGCUCUUUCUUGAUUCGGUGGAUGGUGGUGCAUGGCCGUUCUUAGUUGGUGGAGUGAUUUGUCUGGUUAAUUCCGAUAACGAACGAGACUCUAGCCUGCUAACUAGUUGCGCCGUGUUCAUACGCGGCUGUAGACUUCUUAGAGGGACAGGUGGCGUUUAGCCACACGAAAUUGAGCAAUAACAGGUCUGUGAUGCCCUUAGAUGUCCGGGGCCGCACGCGCGCUACACUGAAGGAGUCAGCGUGUGCUAUCCGGGCUCGGAAGAGUUCGGUAACCCGUUGAAACUCCUUCGUGCUUGGGAUUGUGGCUUGUAAUUAUCGCGCAUGAACGAGGAAUUCCCAGUAAGUGCAAGUCAUCAGCUUGCGCUGACUACGUCCCUGCCCUUUGUACACACCGCCCGUCGCUACUACCGAUUGAAUGGUUUAGCAAGGUACUCGGAUUGGUCUCGAUCUUGUACGAAAGUGCGGGAUCUGUGGCCGAGAAGAAGGCCAAACUUGAUCAUUUAGAGGAAGUAAA
rnacentral:rRNA from 1 species